rnacentral:lncRNA from 1 species
CCAGGGUACCUUAUGUACAUGAAUCUAUAUUUUGGUUUGCUUCCUAACUUGGUUCUUUGAUCCUUGUAUGGGGUGUUCUGAAUAUGGUGAAGUAUUCAUGAAGAUUGUGAGUGAUCAAUAAGGGAUCAGUCACUCUUAAUAAGGAGAGUGAACAUCCUAUGUGAUCUCGUAGGUCGGUGAUUCUGGAAGUCUUUGGCUAAAGCAG